GACGAACGCUGGCGGCGUGCUUAACACAUGCAAGUCGAGCGGAGCGGCGAACGGGUGAGUAACGCGUGAGUAACUGCCCCCCUCUCUGGGAUAACAGUUGGAAACGGCUGCUAAUACCGGAAAGUGGGGGUUGAGUCGAGUCCUAUCGGCUUGUUGGUGGGGUGGUGGCCUACCAAGGCGACGACGGGUAGCCGGCCUGGGAGGGCGACCGGCCACAUUGGGCUGGGGUAGGGCCCAAACGCCUACGUGGGGCAGCAGGGGGGAAUAUUGCACAAUGGGGGAAACGCUGAUGCAGCAACGCCGCGUGCGGGAUGACGGCUUUCGGUUUGUAAACCGCUUUCAGCCAUGACGCGGUAGUGGCAGAAGAAGCACCGGCUAACUACGUGCCAGCAGCCGCGGUAAUAC
rnacentral:rRNA from 1 species